GACGAACGCUGGCGGCGCGCUUAACACAUGCAAGUCGAACGGAAAGGCCAGCUUUCCCUUGUGGAUUGCGGGUACUCGAGUGGCGAACGGGUGAGUAACACGUGAGUGAUCUGCCCCCAACUUGGGUAUAAGCCUGGGAAACUGGGUCUAAUUCCCGAUAGGACUGCAGGGUGGUGCCUGUGGUGGAAAACGAUUUUCUAGUGGUUGGGGAUGAGCUCGCGGCCUAUCAGCUUGUUGGUGGGGUAAUGGCCUACCAAGGCGGCGACGGGUAGCCGGCCUGAGAGGGUGGACGGCCACAUUGGGACUGAGAUACGGCCCAGACUCCUACGGGAGGCAGCAGUGGGGAAUAUUGCACAAUGGGCGGAAGCCUGAUGCAGCGACGCCGCGUGGGGGAUGACGGCCUUCGGGUUGUAAACUCCUUUCGACCGCGAGGAAGCCACCUGGUUGGAAGGGUGGUGACGGUAGUGGUAGAAGAAGCACCGGCUAACUACGUG
rnacentral:rRNA from 1 species